rnacentral:misc_RNA from 1 species
GCAAGCCUCUUCAAUUUCGGCCCAAGGGCAACUUUGCCUUGGCCGUGUGCCGGUUUCCUGUGCUGUGUACCUACUAAAACGGAAUUCGAAAGUGAAAAGUUUUGUCAUUCGCCUUGUGCYGUCCCAUCGGUCGUCCCUUUGGGGUGCGGCGUCGGGUGAACCUCGAAACGGUCUUCGUGUUCUUCGUCUCCCACGAAAUGUGUKGUUGGCGCGGCCCAUGAAAGAUUGCUUGAGCUCUCGGAUGCGGAAUACGCGGAGGGCAGUAGGCCUACGGCCUCACUUUGCCCGAACUAAGCGUUGAUUCGCUCAUURCCGAACGACUGCCGGCCGUGCYCUGACGCGCCGAAGCCCUUGGGUUUUGGCAUCDUCACGCUC